GCCGCUAAAGUACGCGAAAAGUUCCUUGAGCGCAAGUCUGCAAAUGUGGAAAUAAAUAUUCAAUUGUCUUUAUUGGAAAACUAUUUUUCUCUGUGUAAGAACCAAAAUAAGUGUAAAGAACCGCAGCUGCCAACAACAAUUGCGGCGUGUUGGCUUAAGCGGCUUGUUAGAAUUGUGCUUAGUGUAAACUUUACAGCGGCGUGAUCCUUUCUCGGCACAAGCGCACAAAGUGUGUGCGGCGUUAAGGGGGCGAAAUGCAAAAAAUACAUAUGUACAUGUGUGCAGUGAACAAGUUUGUGCAAAAAUCGCAAAGAUAAAGUGCAUAAGAAGGCCUUAAGUGUAGAUAAAGGUGUUUCUGGUGUCAUAAACAAAAGCAAAAUAUGCCGUUAUAUCAGCGAAAUUGAAAAGUAAAUAAAAUAAAAUUAUGUAAUGUGUGUGUAAAUAUGUAUGAUAUGAAUUACAAUAAUAAGAUUGUUUGGUGUACUGGCUGUAAAACAUUAAGAACGCGGUAAUUUAAACAACUUCAGUUUAAAGUGAUUAAAAAUGAAAAAUAAGGGUUGGAAAUAAAUAAGCUGAUGACAAAAUUUCCGAAAAACGAGAAAAUUAGUGCAGUAACCGCUUUAUUAAAAAUUAUUAAAACAAACAUUUGUCGCCAACUUAAAUUGCAACGUUCGCUUAGACAUUUUUGCGUGUUGGCGGCUUUAAAUGUCGGAACUAAUGAGGCGCGAC